rnacentral:rRNA from 1 species
UACGUAGGGUGCAAGCGUUGUCCGGAAUUACUGGGCGUAAAGGGCGCGUAGGCGGAUGUUUAAGUCGGGGGUGAAAGCCCGGGGCUCAACCUCGGAAUUGCCUUCGAUACUGGACAUCUUGAGUACGGGAGAGGUGAGUGGAACUCCGAGUGUAGAGGUGAAAUUCGUAGAUAUUCGGAAGAACACCAGUGGCGAAGGCGACUCACUGGCCCGUUACUGACGCUGAGGCGCGAAAGCGUGGGGAGCAAACAGG